GUGAAGAACGUAGCGAAAUGCGAUAAGUAAUGCGAAUUGCAGAAUUUCCGUGAGUCAUCGAAUCUUUGAACGCACAUUGCGCCCACUGGUAUUCCGGUGGGCAUGCCUGUUCGAGCGUCAUUAUCCUCCCUCAAACCCCGGGUUUGGUGUUGGACCCAAGUUGUGUGAACAACUGGUCUCAAAGACAAUGACGGCGUCCGUGGGACCCUCGGUGCAACGAGCUUUUAGGAGCACGCGCCGAGUUGCAAGGACCUUCCGGGCCGGUCUCCUUUACUAUUUUACAAGGUUGACCUCGGAUCAGGUAGGAAUACCCGCUGAACUUAAGCAUAUCAAUAAGCGGAGGA
rnacentral:misc_RNA from 1 species